AAAAUGAGUUUCAGAUUGCUUAUUGCACAAGCUACACAUGGAUGGUAAAUGGCACCCUCCGCUAGAUAAGUUUUCAUCUAUAGGAGAUUUAUUGUGAAAUAAUCUAAAAGCCAAGAAAGGUUGGGAGGAGGGAACCCACCUUGUGUGCCCCACAGGUUUCCCGAUGUAGAUUAGUCAUUGUUAAUGGUGGUGAAAAUUUCACAUCAAUAUCAUGGUAAUCCAAAAAAAAGAACUCCCUCUAUUCCAAUAUUUCCUAAUCCAAUAUCAUGGAGUAUAAACUUUUUUUUUCUCACCACAAGUAUCCGACUCGUAGGUAGUUCGUUGGGCCUGUAUUUUGAUU
rnacentral:lncRNA from 1 species